rnacentral:lncRNA from 1 species
UGAAGCCUUCUCUAUCUCUAUCAACCAAUACUCAGCUUUCUCGAAACUGGAUGCCCCUGCAAAAGGUAGAUGAGUUAAGUCUUUUGUACCUCUCAAUAUAGCAUGAGGCCAUCACGGGUGGAGCUGGGUCCUGUUGAAGAGGAACUGGAUUAUGCUGGAGAGGGACUGGGUGACACUUUGGCGAUACUUGGUUGUAUGGUGAGG